AUACGGAGAAGUGUAGUUUCACGUUUUCCUUCAGUUUCGUAUCGCAUUUAGUUGGGUUCACAUCGUGUUUUAAUAUUUGUAUCCCCCAUUUUUUCUGAGACUAACGGGAAAGGGAUCAAUCACAAGAGUGGUGUUUUUUUGACGUGCGUGUGCUUGUGAAAAUAUGUAAAUAAUAAUAAUCAAUUAGUAAUUGUUCGUCAUAAUUAUAAGUUUAAUUUUGGAAUAAUUUAUAAAUCGAAAAUCGAAGAAAGGCGAGAGAUCAAGAAAAAAUAAAUAAAUAAAUAAAUUGUUGGAUAGUUUAACUUUAAAUUUAAAUAAAAGAAAUAAAUCUUCUAACAAAAUAAUUCAAAAUAUAAUCGCUAGAGAUUCAAUAAUAAUAAUAAUAAAAAAAAACAAAACAAAAUAUUUUGC